CAUGUCUUUUUGAAAAAAAUAUAAAGUCUAGUCUGCUCAAUGAAUAAAAAUUUAAAUAGCUGCAGUAUUUUGACUGUACAAAGGUAGCAUAAUAAAUAGUUUUUUAAUUGAAAGCUGGAAUGAAGGAUUGGACGAGAAAAUUACUGUCUCAAUAUUAUUAUAAAUUGAAAUUAACUUUUUAGUUAAAAGGCUAAAAUAAUUUUAAAAGACGAGAAGACCCUAUAGAGUUUUAUAAUUUAUAAUUUUUAAUUUAUUUAGAAUUAUUAAUAAUUAAAUUAAUAUAAAUUAUUUGGUUGGGGUGAUUAAAAAAUUUAUAAAACUUUUUUAUUUAAUUGAUUAUUUAUGUAUAAAUUUUUUAUCUAUAUAUUAAAAUUAAAAUAAAUUACCUUAGGGAUAACAGCGUAAUAUAUUUUUGAAGUUCUUAUUUAAAAAUUUGUUUGCGACCUCGAUGUUGGAUUAAAAUUUAUUAUU
rnacentral:rRNA from 1 species